rnacentral:rRNA from 1 species
UACAGAGGUCUCAAGCGUUGUUCGGAUUCAUUGGGCGUAAAGGGUGCGUAGGUGGCGGGGUAAGUCGGAUGUGAAAUCCCGGGGCUCAACCUCGGAACUGCAUUCGAUACUGCUUUGCUUGAGUACUGGAGAGGAGAUUGGAAUUUACGGUGUAGCAGUGAAACGCGUAGAUAUCGUAAGGAAGACCAGUGGCGAAGGCGGAUCUCUGGACAGUUACUGACACUGAGGCACGAAGGCCAGGGGAGCAAACGGG